rnacentral:rRNA from 1 species
AUGGAGGAGCUUCGGCCAGGGCGGGAGGCAUGCACCAGGCCACCGGAGACGUGGCAGAAACCAACGGAUGGCUGGGCAAAAUUGAAUGUGGACGGAGCCUACCUUCAGGCGAGCGACACUGGUGGAGCUGGAAUGAUCCUUCGAGACUCCAAUGGGUCAGUCAUCUUCGCCUCGUGCAGGUAUUUGAGGACGUGCAGGAGCCCACUAGAAGCGGAGCUGGCGGCGAUCAAGGAAGGCAUUGAGUUAACACUGGAAUGGAGCACCCUUUCGUUUAUUAUCGAGUCUGACUGUGCAAACGCAGUGGCUGCGAUCAAGAAUCCAAACUUAUAG